rnacentral:rRNA from 1 species
GAUGAACGCUAGCGGCAGGCCUAAUACAUGCAAGUCGGACGGGAUUCCGGAGCUUGCUUCUGAUGAGAGUGGCGCACGGGUGCGUAACACGUAUGUAACCUACCUUUAUCAGGGGGAUAGCCUCUCGAAAGAGAGAUUAAGCCCGCAUAAAAUCACAGCACAGCAUUGUGUAAUGAUCAAAUAUUUAUAGGAUAAAGAUGGGCAUGCGGAACAUUAGCUAGAUGGCGGGGUAACGGCCCACCAUGGCGACGAUGGUUAGGGGAUCUGAGAGGAUGGCCCCUCACAGUGGUACUGGGACACGGACCAGAGUCCUACGGGAGGCAGCCGUAAGGAAUAUUGGUGAAUGGGCGGAAGCCUGAACCAGCCAUGCCGCGUGCAGGAAGACGGCCCUCCGGAUGGUAAACUGCUUUUAUACGGGAAUAAACCCAGAUACGUGUAUCUGGCUGAAUGUACUGGAAGAAUAAGGACCGGCUAACUCCGUG